UUCAUCCUCCCAUUUCGUUUCCUCUCUCCUUCAGCCGCCGAAACCUCUGUCUGCGCCAAACCUCUCUCUCAGCCAUCCUCUCUCUCACCCAAACCUCUCUCUCAGCCUUCCUCUCUCUCAGCCAUCCUCUUUAUCCUUCAGCCGUCGCGCCGCCGAAGCUCUCUCUCAGCCAUCCUCCUCUCUCUCAGGCAAACCUCACUCUCAGCCAAACCUCUCUCUCAACCACACCUCUCUCAGCCGCUGCUCCUCUCAGUCGCCACCUUUCAUAGUCGUCGUCGUCAUACAGCUUCCUCUGUCCUCCAACAAUUUGCAGAUCCAGCACCAGCAGUUCGCAGAUCCAGCAAUCCACCUCUUCAUCUUAUCCUCUCUCUCUCUCUCUCUCUCUCUCUCUCUCUCAGGUAUGUCACUGUGAUGCGCCAAAAAACCUCCAAAUGCCAACUGCUUGUAUUUUAUCAAAUUGAUUAGCACUUCUUGGUGAUAUGAAAAGUAUUUUAUAUGCCUAUCUUGAUAUUAUGCUGUCAAAAGAAGAAAUGAAUUGAAAUAAGGCAGAUUGAAACUAUAUCAAAUUGAAGUUCCAGUAUAUCAAAUAUAUAUCAAAUUGGAUUGGGUUGUGGUUGUCUGAAUAUGUGCAUGUGGUUGUCUCAAUCUGUGAAGAAAAAACAAACAUAAAUCUGGAUCCAAUAGAGAACAUGAUGGGUAUUCUGGGUAUUCUGAGAACAUGUUAGAGACAUGAGAAGCAGUGUAUGUUGUUAUCAAAAUGGGCAAGCAGGUAACUCAUUUGGCUGUCUUUGAUCAUGAAAAUGGUCUAGUUUUCUGAUAAUUUUCUUUUGCUGUUGCAUUUCUUGAUCCAUUUUCACUUCUGGGUUUCCGGAGUUAUGUUUUUAUUUUCCACAAAUUUAGAUUAUUGAUGGCAAUACAUGGAUCUGGUAGGUUCACUUUGUGUUCGGAGAUGCAGCAACAAAAGAGCAAAAGAAUGGAGUUGUAAUUUUAAAUUUGAUUGUAAUUUAUUUUGUUUUAUUAUGUAUUUUUUUGUUGGGUUGUAAUUUUAAAUUGAAUAUUGGAUUGUUUUAUUAUUUUUGACAAAGAAUAGUGGUUGUUUCAA